rnacentral:rRNA from 1 species
GGGGAAUAUUGCACAAUGGGCGCAAGCCUGAUGCAGCCAUGCCGCGUGUGUGAAGAAGGCCUUCGGGUUGUAAAGCACUUUCAGCGAGGAGGAAGGCGUUAAGGUUAAUAACCUUAGCGAUUGACGUUACUCGCAGAAGAAGCACCGGCUAACUCCGUGCCAGCAGCCGCGGUAAUACGGAGGGUGCAAGCGUUAAUCGGAAUUACUGGGCGUAAAGCGCACGCAGGCGGUUUGUUAAGUCAGAUGUGAAAUCCCCGAGCUUAACUUGGGAACUGCAUUUGAAACUGGCAAGCUAGAGUCUUGUAGAGGGGGGUAGAAUUCCAGGUGUAGCGGUGAAAUGCGUAGAGAUCUGGAGGAAUACCGGUGGCGAAGGCGGCCCCCCUGGACAAAGACUGACGCUCAGGUGCGAAAGCGUGGGGCA